CCACAUUUGUGGUGAUGAAAGGUUUGGUCAGAAAAGGAGGCUGGGGUAAAACAGCAUCUAUUCUGUCAUUUGAAGAAUGGGAAGGAUUUUGCUAGAACAAGAGAGGGUGGGAAAAUAAGAAAGGAAAAUAGAACAUUUUAGGGAAAGGGAAUAGUGUGUGCAAAGAUGAAGAAGUAUAAAAGAAAACAUAGCUUAUUCCAGAAACUGCUAAAAGGAUCAAUAUGUGUCGUGUCAUGAGAGAGCCACGAUUCUUCAAACAUAUUUAACUGCUGGAGGGAAUGGCUCAGAAUCCCAAGUAUCAGCUUCAGCACACUCUUUUCUUGGCUCUUGACAGAAGAAGCAGAGUAACUUUUCUUAGGUGGCAUAAUUCUUCAAAAUGUGUUCAUUUUGAAGAACAGGGGUGAUGGAUGGUAAUACACAGGCAGGGAUCAACAGUCCCAGAACUGAAGGAAGAGUUGACAAAUGUAUCAAAGAUGCCUAAUCAAAAUGUGUCCACAUUCUGCUAAAUAAAUUCUGGUUAACCUCUCUCUAGAGACCUUGGCACUUUGCUUAACUUCGG
rnacentral:lncRNA from 1 species